AGGUGAUUAUUUUAAAUAAAAUAUUUGAUUUCGGCUCAAAAGCUUAUGGUUAAAAUCCACAAUUACCUA
rnacentral:tRNA from 1 species